UUGAACGCUGGCGGCAGGCCUAACACAUGCAAGUCGAGCGCGAAAGGUUUUCGGACUGAGUAAAGCGGCGGACGGGUGAGUAACGCGUGGGAAUCUGCCCAGUAGUGGGGGACAACAGUCGGAAACGACUGCUAAUACCGCAUACGCCUUACGGGGGAAAGGGGGGGAUCUUCGGACCUCUCGCUAUUGGAUGAGCCCGCGUCGGAUUAGCUAGUUGGUAGGGUAAAGGCCUACCAAGGCUACGAUCCGUAACUGGUCUGAGAGGAUGAUCAGUCACACGGGAACUGAGACACGGUCCAGACUCCUACGGGAGGCAGCAGUGGGGAAUAUUGGACAAUGGGGGCAACCCUGAUCCAGCCAUGCCGCGUGUGUGAAGAAGGCCUUAGGGUUGUAAAGCACUUUCAGUGGGGAGAAAGGUUUGUCACCUAAUACGUGAUGAAAUUGAUGUUACCCACAGAAGAAGCACCGGCUAACUCCGUGCCAGCCGCCGCCGUAA
rnacentral:rRNA from 1 species